AUUGAACGCUGGCGGCAGGCCUAACACAUGCAAGUCGGGCGAGCGGCUGAAGGGUGAGUAAUGUAUGGGGAUCUGCCUGAUGGCGGGGGCUAACUACUGGAAACGGUAGCUAAUACCGCAUACCCUCAGAUGACCCCAUAUGGGAUUAGCUAGUAGGUAAGGUAACGGCUUACCUAGGCGACGAUCCCUAGCUGUUCUGAGAGGAUGAUAAGCCACACGGGAACUGAGAAACGGCCCAGACGCCUACGUGGGGAAGCAGUGGGGAAUAUUACACAAUGGGCGCAAGCCGGAUGCAGCCAUGCCGCGGGUAUGAAGAAGGCCUUCGGGUUGUAAAGUACUGUCAGUCGGGAGGCGUUACCGACAGAAGAAGCACCGGCUAACUACGUGCCAGCAGCCGCGGUAAUAC
rnacentral:rRNA from 1 species